UACGUAGGGAGCAAGCGUUGUCCGGAAUCAUUGGGCGUAAAGCGCGCGUAGGUGGCCCCAUAAGUCCGCUGUGAAAGUCGAAGGCUCAACCUUCGAAAGCCGGUGGAUACUGUGGGACUAGAGUACGGAAGAGGCGAGUGGAAUUCCUGGUGUAGCGGUGGAAUGCGCAGAUAUCAGGAGGAACACCAAUAGCGAAGGCAGCUCGCUGGGACGUUACUGACGCUGAGACGCGAAAGCGUGGGGAGCAAACAGG
rnacentral:rRNA from 1 species